rnacentral:rRNA from 1 species
AAGUCGAGCGGACAGAUGGGAGCUUGCUCCCUGAUGUUAGCGGCGGACGGGUGAGUAACACGUGGGUAACCUGCCUGUAAGACUGGGAUAACUCCGGGAAACCGGGGCUAAUACCGGAUGGUUGUUUGAACCGCAUGGUUCAGACAUAAAAGGUGGCUUCGGCUACCACUUACAGAUGGACCCGCGGCGCAUUAGCUAGUUGGUGAGGUAACGGCUCACCAAGGCGACGAUGCGUAGCCGACCUGAGAGGGUGAUCGGCCACACUGGGACUGAGACACGGCCCAGACUCCUACGGGAGGCAGCAGUAGGGAAUCUUCCGCAAUGGACGAAAGUCUGACGGAGCAACGCCGCGUGAGUGAUGAAGGUUUUCGGAUCGUAAAGCUCUGUUGUUAGGGAAGAACAAGUGCCGUUCAAAUAGGGCGGCACCUUGACGGUACCUAACCAGAAAGCCACGGCUAACUACGUGCCAGCAGCCGCGGUAAUACGUAGGUGGCAAGCGUUGUCCGGAAUUAUUGGGCGUAAAGGGCUCGCAGGCGGUUUCUUAAGUCUGAUGUGAAAGCCCCCGGCUCAACCGGGGAGGGUCAUUGGAAACUGGGGAACUUGAGUGCAGAAGAGGAGAGUGGAAUUCCACGUGUAGCGGUGAAAUGCGUAGAGAUGUGGAGGAACACCAGUGGCGAAGGCGACUCUCUGGUCUGUAACUGACGCUGAGGAGCGAAAGCGUGGGGAGCGAACAGGAUUAGAUACCCUGGUAGUCCACGCCGUAAACGAUGAGUGCUAAGUGUUAGGGGGUUUCCGCCCCUUAGUGCUGCAGCUAACGCAUUAAGCACUCCGCCUGGGGAGUACGGUCGCAAGACUGAAACUCAAAGGAAUUGACGGGGGCCCGCACAAGCGGUGGAGCAUGUGGUUUAAUUC